GAUGAACGUUGGCGGCGUGCCUAAUACAUGCAAGUCGAGCGAACGGACGAGAAGCUUGCUUCUCUGAUGUUAGCGGCGGACGGGUGAGUAACACGUGGAUAACCUACCUAUAAGACUGGGAUAACUUCGGGAAACCGGAGCUAAUACCGGAUGAUAUUUUGAACCGCAUGGUUCAAAAGUGAAAGACGGUCUUGCUGUCACUUAUAGAUGGAUCCGCGCUGCAUUAGCUAGUUGGUAAGGUAACGGCUUACCAAGGCAACGAUGCAUAGCCGACCUGAGAGGGUGAUCGGCCACACUGGAACUGAGGCACGGUCCAGACUCCUACGGGAGGCAGCAGUAGGGAAUCUUCCGCAAUGGGCGAAAGCCUGACGGAGCAACGCCGCGUGAGUGAUGAAGGUCUUCGGAUCGUAAAACUCUGUUAUUAGGGAAGAACAUAUGUGUAAGUAACUGUGCACAUCUUGACGGUACCUAAUCAGAAAGCCACGGCUAACUACGUG
rnacentral:rRNA from 1 species